rnacentral:rRNA from 1 species
CUACGUGCCAGCAGCCGCGGUAAUACGUAGGGCGCGAGCGUUGUCCGGAAUUAUUGGGCGUAAAGAGCUUGUAGGCGGUUUGUCGCGUCUGCUGUGAAAGGCCGGGGCUUAACCCCGUGUAUUGCAGUGGGUACGGGCAGACUAGAGUGCAGUAGGGGAGACUGGAAUUCCUGGUGUAGCGGUGGAAUGCGCAGAUAUCAGGAGGAGCACCGAUGGCGAAGGCAGGUCUCUGGGCUGUAACUGACGCUGAGAAGCGAAAGCAUGGGGAGCGAACAGGAUUAGAUACCCUGGUAGUCCAUGCCGUAAACGUUGGGCACUAGGUGUGGGGGACAUUCCACGUUUUCCGCGCCGUAGCUAACGCAUUAAGUGCCCCGCCUGGGGAGUACGGCCGCAAGGCUAAAACUCAAAGAAAUUGACGGGGGCCCGCACAAGCGGCGGAGCAUGCGGAUUAAUUCGAUGCAACGCGAAGAACCUUACCAAGGCU